GAUGAACGCUGGCGGCGUGCCUAAUACAUGCAAGUCGAGCGAACGGACGAGAAGCUUGCUUUUCUGAUGUUAGCGGCGGACGGGUGAGUAACACGUGGAUAACCUACCUAUAAGACUGGGAUAACUUCGGGAAACCGGAGCUAAUACCGGAUAAUAUUUCGAACCGCAUGGUUCAAAAGUGAAAGACGGUCUUGCUGUCACUUAUAGAUGGAUCCGCGCUGCAUUAGCUAGUUGGUAAGGUAACGGCUUACCAAGGCAACGAUGCAUAGCCGACCUGAGAGGGUGAUCGGCCACACUGGAACUGAGACACGGUCCAGACUCCUACGGGAGGCAGCAGUAGGGAAUCUUCCGCAAUGGGCGAAAGCCUGACGGAGCAACGCCGCGUGAGUGAUGAAGGUCUUCGGAUCGUAAAACUCUGUUAUUAGGGAAGAACACAUGUGUAAGUAACUGUGCACAUCUUGACGGUACCUAAUCAGAAAGCCACGGCUAACUACGUG
rnacentral:rRNA from 1 species